rnacentral:rRNA from 1 species
AGUGAACGCUGGCGGCGUGCUUAACACAUGCAAGUCGAACGAGAAACGGAUUUAGCUUGCUAAAUUGCAGUCUAAGUGGCGCACGGGUGAGUAAUGUAUAGGUAAUAUGCCUCUUACUAAGGGAUAACAAUUGGAAACGAUUGCUAAUACCUUAUAUGCCUUUAAUACGAAAGUAUGCAAGGGAAAGAUUUAUUGGUAAGAGAUUAGCCUGUAUGGUAUCAGUUAGUUGGUGAGGUAAUGGCUCACCAAGACAAUGACGCCUAACUGGUUUGAGAGGAUGAUCAGUCACACUGGAACUGAGACACGGUCCAGACUCCUACGGGAGGCAGCAGUGGGGAAUAUUGCACAAUGGACGAAAGCCUGAUGCAGCAACGCCGCGUGGAGGAUGACACAUUUCGGUGCGUAAACUCCUUUUAUAUAGGAAGAUAAUGACGGUACUAUAUGAAUAAGCACCGGCUAACUCCGUGCCAGCCGCCGCCGUAA